GUCGCCGUAACAAUGCACGGACGUCGCGACCCGUUCGGUGUCGGUCCUACUCAUAGGAGACGUGUGAAAGUUCGUGAACGCGUGUCGGCUCGUCUGGCGCGCGUUCGCGAGUCCGCGUUUUUUUUUCUGGCCGACUCGCCGGACGGUAUGCGUAACGGUGGCCGCGGCGACCUUUCCAGCGUCGUCGUUCGGUACCGGUCCGCGACGAAUCUUCGGGCCUCUUUCCGACCCGUCUUGAAACACGGACCAAGGAGUCUAACGUGCGCGCGAGUCGCGGGGUGUCGAGUGGUUGGCGGUCGUCUUCGGGCGUUCGUCGGGCCACUCGUUACAAUACGAAACCCGUCUCGUUUUACGAAAGGCGCAAUGAAAGUGAAUUUAGGGGAAGAUGACGUUACCGAGUUCACGUUCCGCGCUCUCGAAGCGCGGCCGGUCGUCCGCAUUCCCAGGGCGUCCCAACGGCCCGGCGGCGUUGCGGACCGCCGUCUCUUCGGAGGCGGUGGUCGGGCGUCGUCGAACCGGGGCGCACCUAUAGCGUGCACGUUGGUACCCGAAAGAUGGUGAACUAUGCCCGGCCAGGAUGAAGUCAGGGGAAAC
rnacentral:rRNA from 1 species